AACGCGAAGAACCUUACCUGGGUUUGACAUGCGCCGGAAAGCCAUAGAGAUAUGGCCCCUUUUAGUCGGUGUGCAGGUGGUGCAUGGCUGUCGUCAGCUCGUGUCGUGAGAUGUUGGGUUAAGUCCCGCAACGAGCGCAACCCUCGUUCCAUGUUGCCAGCGCGCCCUUCGGGGUGGCGGGGACUCAUGGGAGACUGCCGGGGUCAACUCGGAGGAAGGUGGGGAUGACGUCAAGUCAUCAUGCCCCUUAUGUCCAGGGCUUCACGCAUGCUACAAUGGCCGGUACAAAGGGCUGCGAUCCCGCGAGGGGGAGCGAAUCCCAAAAAGCCGGUCUCAGUUCGGAUUGGGGUCUGCAACUCGACCCCAUGAAGUCGGAGUCGCUAGUAAUCGCAGAUCAGCAACGCUGCGGUGAAUACGUUCCCGGGCCUUGUACACACCGUAGAGAC
rnacentral:rRNA from 1 species